UACGUAGGCAGCAAGCGUUGUUCGGAAUUACUGGGCGUAAAGAGUGUGUAGGUGGUGUCGUAAGUUUGGUGUGAAAUCUCCCGGCUUAACUGGGAGGGUGCGCCGAAGACUGCGAUGCUCGAGUAUGGGAGAGGAAAGCGGAAUUCCUGGUGUAGCGGUGAAAUGCGUAGAUAUCAGGAGGAACACCUGCGGUGUAGACGGCUUUCUGGACCAUUACUGACACUGAGACACGAAAGCGUGGGUAGCAAACAGG
rnacentral:rRNA from 1 species